rnacentral:tRNA from 1 species
GGGAAAAUAGUUGAAUAACAACAUUAAAUUGCAGAUUUAAAAGUGUAUUAUAAUACUGUUCCCU